CGGGGGAGGCGGGAUCCUGGGCUGUUUCCCGGCGCCCUGUGCUCCGGGGCCUGCGCUGUUGGAUUCGUGCUCCGCCCCGCAGCCCCUU
rnacentral:pre_miRNA from 1 species